UCGCCGGUCGCCGCCACCCCGGCCACCUGCUCGCCGCCCGCCCGCUCGCCGGUCGCCGCCGCCCCGGCCGCCUGCUCGUCGUGGCCGCUCGCGCCGCCCGCGUCGCCCGCCCCGCCCGCACGCGCGUGAAUGGCAGGCGUGGCGCCCUCCGCCUCCGCGCGCCAGAUAUCCCACACGCACUUCAUCGAGCAGCUCCGCCGCGCCGCCCGCGCCCGCGACGGCGAGGCGCUCCACGCCUGGGCGCUCAAGUCCGGCGCCGCGUCCCACGCGCCCGUCUCCAACUCCCUCAUCACCUUCUACGCCUCCCUCCCGCGGCCGCUCCUCGCCGCGGCCCUGGCCGUCUUCGCGGGCAUCCCCACCGCCGCCCGCGACGUCGCCUCCUGGAACUCCCUGCUCAACCCGCUCUCGCACCACCACCCGCGCGCCGCGCUCUCCAACUUCCGCUCCAUGAUGUUCUCGUCCUCGCCCGCCAUCCUCCCGUCCCCGCACUCCUUUGCCGCCGUCUUCACGGCCGCCGGCCGCGCGCGCUCCGCGUCCGCCGGAGCCGCCGCCCACGCUCUCGCUUGCAAGGUCCCCUCGGCUACCUCCAACGUGUUCGUGUCCACCGCUCUGCUCAGCAUGUACUGCAAGCUGGACCUCGUCCCCGAUGCCCGGAGAGUGUUCGACGAAAUGCCGCUGCGGAACGAGUUCUCCUGGGCCGCUAUGGUGGCGGGCUAUGCUUCCACAAAGUGCUCCGAGGAGGCCUUUGAGAUCUUCCAGUUGAUGCUUGCAGAGUGCCCGUCACAGAAAAAUGAGUUUGUGGCUACGGCAGUUCUUAGUGCGGUCAGUGUGCCGUCGGGCUUGCCGAUGGGGGUGCAGCUGCAUGGGUUGGCUGUGAAGGAUGGGUUGGUGGUUUUUGUGUCGGUUGAAAACUCGCUUGUCACGAUGUAUGCAAAGGCUGGGUGUAUGGAUGCAGCAUUACAUGUGUUUGCGUCGUCUAAGGAGAGGAACUCCAUCACUUGGUCCGCGAUGAUCACUGGCUACGCGCAGAAUGGGAAUGCAGAAAGCGCAUUUAGAAUGUUCUUGCAGAUGCUUGCUGCAGGGUUUUCACCAACUGAGUUCACUUUGGUCGGGGUGCUCAAUGCUUGUAGUGAUGUGGGAGCAUUGAUGGAAGGAAAGCAGACACAUGGUUUGAUGGUGAAGCUUGGGUUUGAGGUGCAGGUGUAUGUGAAGAGCGCACUGGUGGACAUGUAUGCCAAAUGCGGAUGUAUUACUGAUGCAAAGGAAGGUUUUGAUCAAUUUCAUGAGCUUGACAUUGUCCUUUGGACGGCUAUGGUUGCCGGGCAUGUGCAGAAUGGGGAGUAUGAGGAAGCCUUGAGGUUGUAUGCCAGGAUGGACAAGGAGGGCAUCAUUCCGACUAACUUGACUAUAACUAGUGUUCUGAAAGCAUGUGCUGGCCUUGCAGCAUUGGAGCCAGGGAAGCAAUUGCACACUCAGAUCCUGAAGUUCGGGUUUGGUUUGGGGUCUUCUGUCGGAAGUGCCUUGUCUACAAUGUAUUCAAAGUGUGGAAACCUUGACGAUGGCACGGUUGUAUUCAGAAGGAUGCCUCAUAAGGAUGUUAUUGCAUGGAACUCGAUCAUUUCUGGAUUCUCUCAAAAUGGACGUGGAAAUGAAGCACUUGACCUGUUUGAGGAGAUGAAGCUAGAGGGCACUGCUCCAGAUCAUAUAACAUUCAUUAAUGUGUUAUGUGCUUGUAGUCACAUGGGCCUAGUUGACAGAGGAUGGAUUUACUUUAGGUCAAUGACCAAAGACUAUGGUUUAACUCCUAGGCUGGAUCAUUAUGCUUGCAUGGUUGAUAUUCUUAGCAGAGCAGGGAUGCUAAAUGAAGCAAAAGAUUUCAUAGAGUCCAUUAGUAUUGACCAUGGAACAUGUUUGUGGCGUAUAUUAUUGGGAGCAUGUCGCAGUAUACGGGAUUUUGAUGUCGGGGCAUAUGCAGGUGAGCAGCUGAUGGAAUUAGGUACUGGGGACUCCUCUGCAUAUAUAUUGUUGUCAAACAUCUAUGCUGCCCAGAGAAAAUGGACUGAUGUUGAGCGGGUGAGGCAUUUGAUGAGAUCUAGGGGAGUUAGCAAAGAUCCAGGAUGCAGCUGGGUUGAGCUUAACAGCAAAAUUCAUGUGUUUGUUGUUGGGGAGCAGCAACAUCCUGAGGCGGAAAAUAUAAAUACAGAGUUGAGAAGGCUUGCUAAACACAUGAAGGACGAAGGGUACCGUCCAACAUCUAAAUUUUCAUGGGAGGAAGAACUGGAUACAUUGGGAGAAUCUCAUGAAGAAGAUCAAUUCGAGUUGAUAUCGGCAGUUUCUAGCUGACUUCUCAAAUGACAAGAACACACAUCAACUUGGUAGGAGAGAGCACUCAUCAUCUCCCAAACAGGGCAGUAAAUGCACCAGCAUGGUCACACUGUUCACGGAAGGUUUGUGAUAUACUCAGGCUGAUGUGACCGUAAAGCUACACCUGUAACUAAAGAUGGACAAAAAUUCAGUAAUGUUCAUACAGAAAAUCAUGGAUGCACACCAUCUAUUCAGUUUGUAAAAGCAAAAUCUGCGCUUGCUAAGCAACGCUUUUUUCUUUCCAAGCAUGUGCACUGAGUACCCAUGCUGGAAAUAGAAGAUUCCUCCUCUGGGUAUUGUGUUACAACUAAGAGUGCAACCGACAUGAAUGCACUACAAACAACACGAACUCAGGAAACAUUUCAGGACAAGUGGAAUAAUGCCACUAAGAAAAAAUAUGUAUCAAAGUACUAUGCAUCCUAUAUAUCAAGGACAAGGAGAGGAGGAUGGCAGCCGAGGAUAGGAGGGCGGUGACGGAGGAGAAGAAGGCGGAGGUUGAGGAGAGGAAUGUGGUCAUGGAAGAGAGAAUCAAAAGCAUUAAACGAGAGCAAAAGUUCAUGUUCAUGGAUACAAGUGGUCUUGAUGACAAGGCGAAAGCAUACGUGGAGCUUUAUCGUGAUCAAGUGUUGCGAUGAGGUCUAUGGGAGGCUUCAUGAUGGGAGGAUUCAUGGGAGGCAUGGGAGGAGCCAUGGGCAGCAUGGGAGGAUUCAUAGGUGCCAUGGGCGCCAUGGGAGGAGGCAUGGGUGGUGCAAUGGAUGGGAAUGAAAAACAAUGGGUGGUGCAUUGGAGAAGAAGCAAUCAAUGGAGAGGAAGCAAGCCAUGAAGACGAUGCAAGCACAACUAAUGGCAAUGGAGGCAAUGCCAUUUGAGAGGCUAUGCAUUCAUUUUGUAUGCACUUUUGUUUUUGUUUGCGAUGCACAAUGAUUGUGGUUUGAAUUUGAAUUUAAUAUACAGAUGAUUGAACUUGAAUUUGAUAUGUUGAUUAUCAUCUUGCAAAGUUUUAAUCAUGCCGUCAUGUUUUGUUUCAAUAUGUAUGCAAUUGCGAAGUGAAAAGAAAGAA